AUACUUACCUUCUUGAAAUCGGGCUGCUCAUGAAUAGCCUUGAUUGUUCGACGAGACCUCCAUUGCACACCGGGGCGUCUAGACGAAUUGACUUUCCUUCGGGGACGUCAUCGGGGGAAUUUUUGAUUGCCAUCUCCUGUUGGAGAAC
rnacentral:snRNA from 14 species